UGGUUUGUUUGUUUGUAUUCGUCCAGCUUUCAAACUCAGUGGACCGUUACAUCAACUACUUCCAGGUGGUCGAUAACCUGAGUGACCGAGGCUCUCUGAUCCUCCACCUGUUCAAGGUGUCUCACAGAGAGCCAGAGGUCCUGAUCUUCAGGCUGCAGCAGAGCUUCAGAGUGGGCCUUCUGCAGCCGUCCUCGGUCACCGUCUACGAGUAUUACAACCCAGAUCACCGCUGCAGUCACACCUACACCCCCAGGGAGGACCGAGAGGAGCUCUCUCAGAUCUGCAGGAACAACGGGUGCCGCUGCGCGCAGGGCGACUGCUGCGUCUCCAGGAGCGACAGUGAAAACGGUACGAAACAC